CCUACGGGAGGCAGCAGUCGAGAAUCAUUCACAAUGGGGGAAACCCUGAUGGUGCGACGCCGCGUGGGGGAAUGAAGGUCUUCGGAUUGUAAACCCCUGUCAUGUGGGAGCAAAUUAAAAAGAUAGUACCACAAGAGGAAGAGACGGCUAACUCUGUGCCAGCAGCCGCGGUAAUCCAGAGGUCUCAAGCGUUGUUCGGAAUCACUGGGCGUAAAGCGUGCGUAGGCUGUUUCGUAAGUCGUGUGUGAAAGGCGCGGGCUCAACCCGCGGACGGCACAUGAUACUGCGAGACUAGAGUAAUGGAGGGGGAACCGGAAUUCUCGGUGUAGCAGUGAAAUGCGUAGAUAUCGAGAGGAACACUCGUGGCGAAGGCGGGUUCCUGGACAUUAACUGACGCUGAGGCACGAAGGCCAGGGGAGCGAAAGGGAUUAGAUACCCCGGUAGUC
rnacentral:rRNA from 1 species